rnacentral:rRNA from 1 species
GGGAGCUUGCUCCUGGUGGCGAGUGGCGAACGGGUGAGUAAUGCGUCGGAACGUACCGAGUAAUGGGGGAUAACGCAGCGAAAGUUGUGCUAAUACCGCAUACGCCCUGAGGGGGAAAGCGGGGGAUCGUAAGACCUCGCGUUAUUCGAGCGGCCGACGUCUGAUUAGCUAGUUGGUGGGGUAAUGGCUCACCAAGGCGACGAUCAGUAGCGGGUCUGAGAGGAUGAUCCGCCACACUGGGACUGAGACACGGCCCAGACUCCUACGGGAGGCAGCAGUGGGGAAUUUUGGACAAUGGGGGCAACCCUGAUCCAGCCAUUCCGCGUGAGUGAAGAAGGCCUUCGGGUUGUAAAGCUCUUUCAGCUGGAGUGAAACGGUACGCUCUAACAUAGCGUGCUAAUGACGGUACCAGCAGAAGAAGCACCGGCUAACUACGUGCCAGCAGCCGCGGUAAUACGUAGGGUGCGAGCGUUAAUCGGAAUUACUGGGCGUAAAGCGUGCGCAGGCGGAUUGUUAAGCAAGACGUGAAAUCCCCGGGCUUAACCUGGGAAUGGCGUUUUGAACUGGCAGUCUAGAGUGUGUCAGAGGGGGGUAGAAUUCCACGUGUAGCAGUGAAAUGCGUAGAGAUGUGGAGGAAUACCGAUGGCGAAGGCAGCCCCCUGGGAUAACACUGACGCUCAUGUACGAAAGCGUGGGUAGCAAACAGGAUUAGAUACCCUGGUAGUCCACGCCCUAAACGAUGUCAACUGGUUGUUGGGGGAGUGAAAUCCCUUAGUAACGAAGCUAACGCGUGAAGUUGACCGCCUGGGGAGUACGGUCGCAAGAUUAAAACUCAAAGGAAUUGACGGGGACCCGCACAAGCGGUGGAUGAUGUGGAUUAAUUCGAUGCAACGCGAAAAACCUUACCUACCUUGACAUGUCCAGAACCCUGAAGAGAUUUGGGGGUGCCCGAAAGGGAAUUGGAACACAGGUGCUGCAUGGCUGUCGUCAGCUCGUGUCGUGAGAUGUUGGGUUAAGUCCCGCAACGAGCGCAACCCUUAUCAUUAGUUGCUACGCAAGGGCACUCUAAUGAGACUGCCGGUGACAAACCGGAGGAAGGUGGGGAUGACGUCAAGUCCUCAUGGCCCUUAUGGGUAGGGCUUCACACGUCAUACAAUGGUCGGUACAGAGGGUUGCCAAGCCGCGAGGUGGAGCCAAUCCCAGAAAGCCGAUCGUAGUCCGGAUUGUUCUCUGCAACUCGAGAGCAUGAAGUCGGAAUCGCUAGUAAUCGCGGAUCAGCAUGUCGCGGUGAAUACGUUCCCGGGUCUUGUACACACCGCCCGUCACACCAUGGGAGUGGAAUCUGGCAGAAGUAG